rnacentral:rRNA from 1 species
GAUGAACGCUGGCGGCGUGCCUAAUACAUGCAAGUCGAGCGAACAGACGAGGAGCUUGCUCCUUUGACGUUAGCGGCGGACGGGUGAGUAACACGUAGGUAACCUACCUAUAAGACUGGGAUAACUUCGGGAAACCGGAGCUAAUACCGGAUAAUAUUUCGAACCGCAUGGUUCGAUAGUGAAAGAUGGCUUUGCUAUCACUUAUAGAUAGACCUGCGCCGUAUUAGCUAGUUGGUAAGGUAACGGCUUACCAAGGCAACGAUACGUAGCCGACCUGAGAGGGUGAUCGGCCACACUGGAACUGAGACACGGUCCAGACUCCUACGGGAGGCAGCAGUAGGGAAUCUUCCGCAAUGGGCGAAAGCCUGACGGAGCAACGCCGCGUGAGUGAUGAAGGUCUUCGGAUCGUAAAACUCUGUUAUUAGGGAAGAACAAACGUGUAAGUAACUGUGCACGUCUUGACGGUACCUAAUCAGAAAGCCACGGCUAACUACGU